rnacentral:rRNA from 1 species
GACGAACGCUGGCGGCGUGCCUAAUACAUGCAAGUCGAACGCAGUGGGGACGGGUGAGUAACACGUGGGUAACCUCCCAUCAGCGGAGAUAACACUUGGAAACAGGUGCUAAACCGAUAGUGAUGGAUGGACCCGCGGUGCAUGUGCUCGUUGGUGAGGUAACGGCGCACCAAGGCCACGAUGGAUCGCCGACCUGAGAGGGUGUUCGGCCACACGGGGACUGAGACCCGGCCCAGAUGCCUACGGGAGGCAGCAGUAGGGAAUCUUCGGCAAUGGACGAAAGUCUGACCGAGCAACUCCGCGGGAGUGAAGAAGGUUUUCGGAGCGUAAAACGCGGGUGUUAGAGAAGCGGUAUCUAACCAGAAAGCCACGGCUAACUACGUGCCAGCAGCCGCGGUAAUAC